rnacentral:rRNA from 1 species
GGCGGCUCGAGUGGUGGCCACUAUUACUGGGCUUAAAGCGUCCGUAGCUGGAUUGUUAAGUCUCUUGGGAAAUCUACCGGCUUAACCGAUAGGCGUUCAAGGGAUACUGGCAAUCUAGGGACCGGAAGAGGUGAGAGGUACUCCAGGGGUAGGAGUGAAAUCCUGUAAUCCUUGGGGGACCACCUGUGGCGAAGGCGUCUCACCAGAACGGCUCCGACAGUGAGGGACGAAAGCUGGGGGAGCAAACC